rfam:Ruegeria meonggei strain CECT 8411 genome assembly, contig: 0012
GCCAUGGGGUAAGAUUGCGAACGCCCCGUGAGGCGUCAGCCCAAGUUUCGCAUGUAUCCGCCUAAACCAGGAGACAUGCUAUG